GGGGAGGUUAAAGAAGUGACAUUAGAGGGGAAACUACAGGGUCAAACUCGGAGGCGCCGGACCGCUGACAAGGCUGCUGUAUGGUUGACGUGUUGGGAUUGAGAAAGUGCUGCAAGAAAUCCUGUUAAAACACCAGAACCAACAAUGUGCCAGCUUCUCAUACUUCCACAGUGGAACAUAACCAUGGAUGAAGCAUGUGUGGCGUGGGCGUAGGUGUUGGCAGCUGCUGUUUUAAAGGCUGCACCACCACUUCAUCUCCUGCGGCGAGCGUUAUGUCUCCACAGCCGUCUGAUACACACCCGUUCUUUGUCUCUGAUCAAAAACAACACUGUUGCACAUCCAGCUCCCCCCGCUCCUCCGGGUAUCACCUACUGAGUUUUUCCUGUAAACAGUGAGUCAGGUACAGUUUUUCUCCACAGUGUCGGCAGCCAUCAGUCUCCCCGCCGUGAAUGAGGAAUGGUUGAUGUGGCUCUCCUCCAAGACAUCCCAGGCUGAACCCCUCCCCUCCAAUCCUUUUCUCUCGCAGCCUCCAAUGUAUUUAUUAAA